AGCUCUGUGGUGAAGUUCAUGUCAGAUUGCAAAUUUGAAGAUGUAUCUUAAGUAAUGAUAUCAGAGCUU
rnacentral:tRNA from 1 species